rnacentral:tRNA from 1 species
AUGGGUGUAGCUCAACUGGAAGAGCACCGGUCUCCAAAACCGGCCGUUGAGGGUUCAAGUCCUUCCACCCAUGCCA